GACGAACGCUGGCGGCGUGCCUAAUACAUGCAAGUCGAACGCAGUGGGGACGGGUGAGUAACACGUGGGUAACCUCCCCUCAGAGGGGAUAACACUUGGAAACAGGAGCUAAACCGAUACUGCUGGAUGGACCCGCGGGGCAUUAGCUAGUUGGUGAUGUAACGGCUCACCAAGGCCACGAGUAGUAGCCGACCUGAUAGGGUGAUCUGUCACACUGUGACUUAGACACGUCCCAGACUCCGACGGGAGGCAGCAUUAGGUAAUUUGCGGGAAGGGAGGAAAGGCUGACUGAGCAAGGCCGCGUGAGUGAUGAUGGUUUUGGGAUCGUAAGACUCGGUUGUGAGGUAAGCGGUAUCUAACAAGAAAGCCACGGCAAACGACGUGCCAGAAGCCGCGGUAAUUC
rnacentral:rRNA from 1 species